rnacentral:rRNA from 1 species
UGAAUACGAGAUGCUACGGCGUCGAAGCAGUGUAUGUCAGACUUCCAAGAAAAGCUCGCAAUGUCAUAAAUAAAGAAUGCCUGUACCAUAACCGACACAGGUGGGUAGGUAGAGUAUACUAAGGGGCGCGAGAUAACUCUCUCUAAGGAACUCGGCAAAAUAACUCCGUAACUUCGGGAGAAGGAGUGCCUUCUAUUAGAAGGUUGCAAUAACAAGAUCCAAGCAACUGUUUAUCAAAAACACAGGUCUCCGCUAAGUCGUAAGACGAUGUAUGGGGGCUGACGCCUGCCCAGUGCCAGAAGGUUAAAGAAGUUGGUUAGCUUUGGCGAAGCUGAUGACUGAAGCCCUGGUGAACGGCGGCCGUAACAAUAACGGUCCUAAGGUAGCGAAAUUCCUUGUCGGGUAAGUUCCGACCCGCACGAAAGGCGUAAUGAUUUGGAUACUGUCUCGGAGAGGGACUCGGUGAAAUAGACUUGUCUGUGAAGAUGCGGACUACCUGCACCAGGACAGAAUACCCUAUGAAGCUUUACUGUAACUUGAAAUUGAAAUUGGACUUUAUUUGCGCAGCAUAGGUGGAAGGCGUUGAGAUUACUCUUGCGGGAGUACUGGAGCCAUCAGUGAGAUACCACUCCUAUAAUGUUAGAUUUCUAACUUUGGAUCAUGAUCUGGUCAAAGAACAGUUUCAGGCGGGCAGUUUGACUGGGGCGGUCGCCUCCCAAAUGGUAACGGAGGCGUACAAAGGUUUCCUCUGAACGGGUAGAAAUCGUAUCUAGAGUGUAAAGGCAUAAGGAAGCUUGACUGUGAGACCUACAAGUCGAGCAGGGACGAAAGUCGGUCUUAGUGAUCUGACGGUGCUGAGUGGAAAGGCCGUCACUCAACGGAUAAAAGUUACUCUAGGAUAACAGGCUGAUCUCCCCCAAGAGUUCACAUCGACGGGGAGGUUUGGCACCUCGAUGUCGGCUCAUCGCAUCCUGGGGCGGUAGUACGUCCCAAGGGUUGGGCUGUUCGCCCAUGAAAGCGGUACGCGAGCUGGGUUCAGAACGUCGUGAGACAGUUCGGUCCAUAUCCGGUGUAGGCGUUAGAAUAUUGAGAGGAGCCUUCUUUAGUACGAGAGGACCGAGAAGGACAUACCUCUGGUGUACCAGUUAUCGUGCCAACGGUAAACGCUGGGUAGCUAUGUAUGGAGAGGAUAACCGCUGAAAGCAUCUAAGUGGGAAGCCCACCUCAAGAUGAGUAUUCUCA